GACGAACGCUGGCGGCGUGCUUAACACAUGCAAGUCGAACGGAAAGGCCCUGCUUUUGUGGGGUGCUCGAGUGGCGAACGGGUGAGUAACACGUGAGUAACCUGCCCUUGACUUUGGGAUAACUUCAGGAAACUGGGGCUAAUACCGGAUAGGAGCUCCUGCUGCACGGUGGGGGUUGGAAAGUUUCGGCGGUUGGGGAUGGACUCGCGGCUUAUCAGCUUGUUGGUGAGGUAGUGGCUUACCAAGGCUUUGACGGGUAGCCGGCCUGAGAGGGUGACCGGCCACAUUGGGACUGAGAUACGGCCCAGACUCCUACGGGAGGCAGCAGUGGGGAAUAUUGCACAAUGGGCGGAAGCCUGAUGCAGCAACGCCGCGUGCGGGAUGACGGCCUUCGGGUUGUAAACCGCUUUCGCCUGUGACGAAGCGUGAGUGACGGUAAUGGGUAAAGAAGCACCGGCUAACUACGUG
rnacentral:rRNA from 1 species